rnacentral:rRNA from 1 species
UUAGGAAUCUUCCACAAUGGGCGAAAGCCUGAUGGAGCGACGCCGCGUGAGGGAUGAAGGUCUUCGGAUCGUAAACCUCUGAAUCAGGGACGAAAGACACUUCGGUGGGAUGACGGUACCUGAGUAAUAGCACCGGCUAACUCCGUGCCAGCAGCCGCGGUAAUACGGAGGGUGCAAGCGUUACCCGGAAUCACUGGGCGUAAAGGGCGUGUAGGCGGACACUUAAGUCUGGUUUUAAAGACUGCGGCUCAACCGCAGGGAUGGACUGGAUACUGGGUGUCUUGACCUCUGGAGAGAGAACUGGAAUUCCUGGUGUAGCGGUGGAAUGCGUAGAUACCAGGGGGAACACCAAUGGCGAAGGCAGGUUCUUGGACAGAAGGUGACGCUGAGGCGCGAAAGUGUGGGGAGCGAACCGG